rnacentral:rRNA from 1 species
CGGUAACAGGGAGCUUGCUCCGCUGACGAGUGGCGAACGGGUGAGUAAUAUAUCGGAACGUACCCAAGAGUGGGGGAUAACGUAGCGAAAGUUACGCUAAUACCGCAUACGAUCUAAGGAUGAAAGCAGGGGAUCUUCGGACCUUGUGCUCCUGGAGCGGCCGAUAUCUGAUUAGCUAGUUGGUGAGGUAAAGGCUCACCAAGGCGACGAUCAGUAGCUGGUCUGAGAGGACGACCAGCCACACUGGAACUGAGACACGGUCCAGACUCCUACGGGAGGCAGCAGUGGGGAAUUUUGGACAAUGGGCGCAAGCCUGAUCCAGCAAUGCCGCGUGAGUGAAGGAGGCCUUCGGGUUGUAAAGCUCUUUUGUCAGGGAAGAAACGGUGGAGGCUAAUAUCCUUCGCUAAUGACGGUACCUGAAGAAUAAGCACCGGCUAACUACGUGCCAGCAGCCGCGGUAAUACGUAGGGUGCAAGCGUUAAUCGGAAUUACUGGGCGUAAAGCGUGCGCAGGCGGUUUUGUAAGUCUGUCGUGAAAUCCCCGGGCUCAACCUGGGAAUUGCGAUGGAGACUGCAAGGCUAGAAUCUGGCAGAGGGGGGUAGAAUUCCACGUGUAGCAGUGAAAUGCGUAGAGAUGUGGAGGAACGCCGAUGGCGAAGGCAGCCCCCUGGGUCAAGAUUGACGCUCAUGCACGAAAGCGUGGGGAGCAAACAGGAUUAGAUACCCUGGUAGUCCACGCCCUAAACGAUGUCUACUAGUUGUCGGGUUUUAAUUAACUUGGUAACGCAGCUAACGCGUGAAGUAGACCGCCUGGGGAGUACGGUCGCAAG